ensembl:snRNA U2 U2 spliceosomal RNA
AUUGCUUCUCCGUCUUUUGGCUAAGAUCAAGUGUAGUAUCUCUUAUUAUCAGUUUAAUAAAAGGGAUAUUAUGCUGCAUAAAACCCUCAAAAUAUUUUUAUGUAGUAGUGCCAUGGUUUAUUAUGUAGAGCUCAUUUAAAGGCACCCAUGCAACAUAUUAAAUUAGCUUC